rnacentral:rRNA from 1 species
UUAUUUAACUUUCAUUUACUUUAUUUCAUUUAUUUAUGUGUUUUUUGAUCCUUAAUUUAGGAUUACAAGAUUAAAUUACCUUAGGGAUAACAGCGUAAUUUUUUCGGAGAGUUCUUAUUGAUGAAUAAAGUUUGCGACCUCGAUGUUGGAUUAAAGAUAAUUUAGGAUGCAGCAGUUCUAUAAUUGAGUCUGUUCGACUCUUAAACCUUUACAUGAUCUGAGUUCAGGCCGGCGUGAGCCAGGUUGGUUUCUAUCUGCAAUUUAAUUUUAUAAUUUAGUACGAAAGGACCUAUUAUAAGUAAUAAUUAUUUAGUUUUGAAUUCUAUUAAACUAUUUUGGCAGAUUAGUGCGAUAAAUUUAGACUUUAUUAAUGUAAUUUAUAUUACAAAUAGUA